rnacentral:rRNA from 1 species
GAUGAACGCUAGCUACAGGCUUAACACAUGCAAGUCGAGGGGAAACGACAUCGAAAGCUUGCUUUUGAUGGGCGUCGACCGGCGCACGGGUGAGUAACGCGUAUCCAACCUGCCCAUCGCUUGGGGAUAACCUUGCUAAAGUAAGACUAAUACCCAAUGAUAUCUCUAGAAGACAUCUGAAAGAGAUUAAAGAUUUAUCGGAGAUGGAUGGGGAUGCGUCUGAUUAGCUUGUUGGCGGGGUAACGGCCCACCAAGGCAACGAUCAGUAGGGGUUCUGAGAGGAAGAUCCCCCACAUUGGAACUGAGACACGGACCAGACUCCUACGGGAGGCAGCAGUGAGGAAUAUUGGUCAAUGGUCGGGAGCCUGAACCAGCCAAGUAGCGUGCAGGAAGACUGCCCUAUGGGUUGUAAACUGCUUUUAUAAGGGAAGAAUGUGGGGGACGUGACUGUUUAUGAAUGUACCUUAUGAAUAAGGACCGGCUAACUCCGUG